UUGACAUCAUCCUACUUGAGAU
rnacentral:miRNA from 1 species